AUCAUUACCGAGUGAGGGCCCUCUGGGUCCAACCUCCCACCCGUGUCUAUCGUACCUUGUUGCUUCGGCGGGCCCGCCGUUUCGACGGCCGCCGGGGAGGCCUUGCGCCCCCGGGCCCGCGCCCGCCGAAGACCCCAACAUGAACGCUGUUCUGAAAGUAUGCAGUCUGAGUUGAUUAUCGUAAUCAGUUAAAACUUUCAACAACGGAUCUCUUGGUUCCGGCAUCGAUGAAGAACGCAGCGAAAUGCGAUAAGUAAUGUGAAUUGCAGAAUUCAGUGAAUCAUCGAGUCUUUGAACGCACAUUGCGCCCCCUGGUAUUCCGGGGGGCAUGCCUGUCCGAGCGUCAUUGCUGCCCUCAAGCACGGCUUGUGUGUUGGGCCCCCGUCCCCCUCUCCCGGGGGACGGGCCCGAAAGGCAGCGGCGGCACCGCGUCCGGUCCUCGAGCGUAUGGGGCUUUGUCACCUGCUCUGUAGGCCCGGCCGGCGCCAGCCGACACCCAACUUUAUUUUUCUAAGGUUGACCUCGGAUCAGGUAGGGAUACCCGCUGAACUUAAGCAUAUCAAUAAGCGGAGGAAAAGAAACCAACAGGGAUUGCCUCAGUAACGGCGAGUGAAGCGGCAAGAGCUCAAAUUUGAAAGCUGGCCCCUUCGGGGUCCGCGUUGUAAUUUGCAGAGGAUGCUUCGGGUGCAGCCCCCGUCUAAGUGCCCUGGAACGGGCCGUCAUAGAGGGUGAGAAUCCCGUCUGGGACGGGGUGUCUGCGUCCGUGUGAAGCUCCUUCGACGAGUCGAGUUGUUUGGGAAUGCAGCUCUAAAUGGGUGGUAAAUUUCAUCUAAAGCUAAAUACUGGCCGGAGACCGAUAGCGCACAAGUAGAGUGAUCGAAAGAUGAAAAGCACUUUGAAAAGAGAGUUAAACAGCACGUGAAAUUGUUGAAAGGGAAGCGUUUGCGACCAGACUCGCCCGCGGGGUUCAGCCGGCAUUCGUGCCGGUGUACUUCCCCGUGGGCGGGCCAGCGUCGGUUUGGGCGGCCGGUCAAAGGCCCUCGGAAUGUAUCACCUCUCGGGGUGUAUUAUAGCCGAGGGUGCAAUGCGGCCUGCCGGACCGAGGAACGCG
rnacentral:rRNA from 1 species